rnacentral:lncRNA from 1 species
UCCCUUAUUUGUUCCUGUGCUAGGAUCUGAAAACAUGCUUUUCAUUCGCAGCAGUCUUAUCUCUGAGGCAGAGCAAAAAGAAGUAAAUUAUUCAGUUGCCCACAUUUUAACUAUAAUGGGGUGAGAAGCAGAUGGUUAAUAGCAACUGUUAUUUUUCUUUUCCGUGUAUAAGCAAUUGUAGGGGGAAAUAAAGUUAUUGGUUUGGCUAGGAAGAGGCGAGGGAUUGCAUGCAUUCUGCACUUUUCUCUUUGGGUGAACGGGUUGUCAUCAAAAUCAUAUGGUCUGUGCUUUGAUUUGUAGAACUUCUCCUGAACAUUGGGCUUGCCUGGAUAUGACAUUCAAAAGUUCCCGUGUUACAGGCAAACAGAUGAAUGCCCUUGAGCUGAAAGAAAGACCUUGCUUGACUCAGAAAACUAAUGUCAUUUUCCUGGUGUUGUUACUGAAGGUAGUGUUAUACUUCUGUGUAUCUGAACAUGACAGCAGUUACAGCAUGGAACCUCUUCUCAAAAAGAAGGUCCAUGUGGCCCGCAAAGUCUGCACGAAGCAGCCAUGCAAGGUAGGCUAUCUCCUUCCAUGACUAUGGGGUGGCUAGACCAGGAGAUCUGUACAUGGAGUGACACUUUCAAUCUGCUGUGCCUCAUGUUGGCACUUUCAUACUUCUCAACAUUCAAAGCCCCUGAGCGCCUUUUUCCAGGAGAGUAAGUGUGGAUUUAAUCAUCUAACUGAAGUCCCAAAUUUGAAACUUUUGCUGAGAAGCCUGGCUGUUUCAGGAGGACAAUGCCAUGUUAUGUCACACAUUUUUGGAGGAGAGUGGCACAUUAACAGCCAGCUCAAAAGGAGGGAAUUUCCUUUCCAGGCAGAAUGAACAGGCAGGUCUGUUGCUGAUCACCAAGUCUGUGGUUUAUUUAACUGCCUUUUUUUUUUUUUUUUUUUUUUUUUUUUUUUUUCUUUCUGUUCCUUCAGGCCCUAGCUGGUGAUAGGGUUACCAGGCUCCAUUGUCAGCAGUGUACUGAUGACACUAGAGUUUAUAUCUUAUUUCCUACAGCUGCAAACACUGCCAGCACUAAGAUUUCACAAUGCCUGGGACACCAGCACUGGGAUGAAGUAGAGUAGCUUCUAACUGAAUUCAGGUGGUGUGAGAGGCUGCAAGGCGGGUGGCUUUCUGGAUAAGGGGAAACCACCCAUCAGAGUUCUGCCCUAAUGCCUCUCAUCUCCAAAGACCCCUGGCCUUGCUGGGCUUACUGUUGGCUUCGUAUGCCCUGAUAUUCCUCCUUUUCAACCCUAGAUUUUACUUGGCAUCUUUCACUUGGGUGUGAGUUGGCAUGAUGAUUCAUUCAUCUGUUACCUUCAGACUGAAUUACUGCAAUGGAGGAUGAAGAUGGGGCAAGCCAGAUAUUCAGUUUAUGCAAAUAUCACACUUUUGUAUCCUUGGGAAAAUGAUGCACUAUCACCCCAAGCCUUGACCUUCCUUCUUGUUCCUGGGCUGUCUCUGUGGUUUUGCUCAUCAGAGCCAUGUGUUAGUCACUACCAUCCCUGGUUUGCUAUGGCCAAGCCUGCAAGGCCAGAUCCUGCUCACAAAAGCUACUCUUUAGUCACCUUUGUCCUGUGAUUCACAUGCCUGCAUUGGCAUGCAGUUAUGUUCCUUCCUCUGUGCUUAGCCAUGGUUUGCCAGUUGGCAUGCUGUUGUUACGCUAAUAGUAGACACAAGGUCCCUCCAUGCUCCCCAUUGCUCUGUUGGGGUUGUUUUGAGAAAUUCUAGCCACCCUUCACUUUAGCUAAAGCCAAGGGCACCACUGCAUGCAAGUAAAGAGAAUUUCAUAGUCCCUUAUAGACCUCCAUAUAUAGAAAUAAAUAAUACUUGUACUUAUAAUCA